GAUGAACGCUGGCGGCGUGCCUAAUACAUGCAAGUCGAGCGAACAGAUAAGGAGCUUGCUCCUUUGACGUUAGCGGCGGACGGGUGAGUAACACGUGGAUAACCUACCUAUAAGACUGGGAUAACUUCGGGAAACCGGAGCUAAUACCGGAUAACAUAUUGAACCGCAUGGUUCAAUAGUGAAAGGCGGCUUUGCUGUCACUUAUAGAUGGAUCCGCGCCGUAUUAGCUAGUUGGUAAGGUAACGGCUUACCAAGGCAACGAUACGUAGCCGACCUGAGAGGGUGAUCGGCCACACUGGAACUGAGACACGGUCCAGACUCCUACGGGAGGGAGCAGUAGGGAAUCGUACGCAAUGGGCGAAAGCCUGACGGAGCAACGCCGCGUGAGUGAUGAAGGUCUUCGGAUCGUAAAACUCUGUUAUCAGGGAAGAACAAAUGUGUAAGUAACUGUGCACAUCUUGACGGUACCUGAUCAGAAAGCCACGGCUAACUACGUG
rnacentral:rRNA from 1 species